rnacentral:rRNA from 1 species
UACGUAGGGGGCAAGCGUUGUCCGGAAUUACUGGGCGUAAAGCGCACGUAGGCGGCUUUGUAAGUUAGAGGUGAAAGCCCGGAGCUCAACUCCGGAAUUGCCUUUAAGACUGCAUCGCUAGAAUUGUGGAGAGGUGAGUGGAAUUCCGAGUGUAGAGGUGAAAUUCGUAGAUAUUCGGAAGAACACCAGUGGCGAAGGCGGCUCACUGGCCCGGUACUGACGCUCAUGUGCGAAAGCGUGGGGAGCAAACAGG